rnacentral:tRNA from 1 species
GCGGAAAUGGCGGAAUUGGCAGACGCGCUAGGUUGAGGGCCUAGUGAGAGUUAAUCUCAUGCAGGUUCAAGUCCUGUUUUCCGCA